rnacentral:lncRNA from 1 species
AAAAAUGGGGCGAGCGAGCGAAAUUUAAAUUUAUAUUUUUAAAUUCUUCGCCUCAAAUUUUGAAGAAAUAUGGAGCGAGCGAUAUUUUUUUUUCUCUCAAUUUUUAUAUCUUUUACCUAAAAGAAGCAACUGAAUUUUCAACUCACUUAAUUGAAAGGGGACAUAUUUUGAUAUAAUUAAAUUAUCUCCCUUUUUAUAUGUAUUUCAACUUUCUGCAUUCUUUUUCAUUUUGUUUUGUUGUUUGUAUAAUUAACACUGCACAAAUAUACACUUUUGAACAUAUUUUUUUAUGCAUGAACUUUAUAUGGCUAUCUGCUUUUAAUAUGCACUGCUUUCAUCUGUAGUAUAUGCACCUUCUGGUCCUUAGACACCCUCUGUAGUUGCUAUGCUAGCUUCUUGUAACAUAACUGCAUGGUGUGUGUUUUGUGUUUAUGCAUAUGGAUCACUAACCAGUCAAUCCAAGCACAGUGGAAACUGGGGGUUCUAGCUAGUGCUACUUUACAAUUAAAUAUCAGAAAAUAAAUUACACCAAAACAUACCAACAUGGAAAUACCUACAUAACCUACAUUUAUAAGCCUAUGUUAUAACUAAGAUUUCAACCAGAUGCAUCAUGGAGUCUAUAAUCCUGCAAUAGAAAUGCAUUUUUUUUCAUUUACAAAACAUCCUGUGUUAAACAAGUUAACUUUCAAUUUCACCCA